AUGGGCAUGGCUGAGAAGAGUUCGGUGGCGAGGAAGGCCGGGCUAAUCACCAAGACGUUGGACCGGUGCCGGAGCACGACGGCGAGGAACAAGCCAAUGGAGGGGUGCUUCUCGGUGUAUGUCGGUGCGGACAGACAACGGUACGUGGUGCGGACGGAGUGCCUGAACCACCCGUUGUUCCAGGCACUGCUGGAGGAGGCCGAGGAGGCGUUUGGGUACGCAGACGCAGGGCCCCUCGAGCUGCCUUGCAACACCGAGGCAUUCGCCAAGGUGCUGGAGAAGAUCGAGAAGGAGAAGCAGAUGGCGGCGCCGAGGAGGCACGGCCUCCCUAGGGGAACUCCUAUCGGUCGCUUGGCACUGGCUGGCCUAUGA
rnacentral:rRNA from 1 species